rnacentral:rRNA from 1 species
CCUAGUGGCGAACGGGUGAGUAACGCGUUGGUGACCUGCCCCGAAGUGGGGGAUAACAGCUCGAAAGAGCUGCUAAUACCCCAUGUGGUCACAAGGGUUAGAGGCCUUGUGACUGAAGGAGUAAUCCGCUUCGGGAGGGGCCUGCGUCCCAUCAGCUAGUUGGUAAGGUAAUGGCCAACCAAGGCGAAGACGGGUAGGGGGCCUGAGAGGGUGGCCCCCCACAAUGGAACUGAAACACGGUCCAU